UGGCAGUCACAUGAAUUGUGUGUCCCGAUUUAUAUUCACCUGUAUACUUUAUAGUUAUUGUUUUCAUUUAUUGUGGACACAACAAAUUUACUGAUUGAUGACUCUAUUGAUGUAGUAAUAUGCAGAGUAUGUAAAUUGUAUGCUGUGCCUAUUUCCUUGCCAGUAAAACUCACUCCACAAGUGAGUUUAUUUUAAACUGGUAUUAAAUCAUCAGAACCCUAGAACUGAGUUUGUUGUUAUUGACAUCGCAAACGAACCUGUUACACAAAUUUGAAGAUCUAACAUUGUUGGGCUAAAUUUGAGACGAAUUAUAUAUAUAUGGUGUUAGCCCUGUAUAACCACGUGUUAUCCGAUGGAGAAUGUCUGUCAUAAAGUUGUCACAUGUUUAGACGUGUAUGAUAAAAUUAAAAAUUUGAUGUGGCGGCAUGGUAAUUAACUUCAUCAUCCUUUACGACAGACAAAAUAGCUAAUCUGAAAGGUACACUAUCUACUUGCCACUAUACACCAUGUACUGUGUUACAACCCUUGAUAAAGCCGACGAGGAAAGGCAUUACAUCGACCACCGAAAGCUAUAUUUUUAUGUAGCAUAGGUGACCGAGUGGUCUAGGAAGCUGGACACGGUGCAAGCGGUGUUGCCACGAUGUCACAGACGCAAGGGUUCGAAUCCCGCUGAGGGAAGAACAAAAAUUUGGUAACGCAAAUUUGCAGAUCUAACAUUUUGGGCUAAAUUUGAAACAAAUUAUAUAUAUAUGGUGUUAGCCCUGUAUAACCACGUGUUAUCCAAUGGAGAAUGUCUGUCAUAAAGUUGUCACAUGGUUAGACGUGUAUAUAUAUAUGUAUAUAUAUAUAAAAUGUUUCAGUUACAAGUUUUACAAGAUAUCAUAGUAAAAUGUCGCAACCCUAGCUUUUACCAUAAUUCUCUUGAUUUGUUUCUGUAAUAUAUAUCUAUAUAAGUUUAUAAAACAUUAAA